CGCCCAGACUGGAGGACAGUGGCACGAUCUCGGCUCACUGAAAGCUCCGCCUCCCGGGUUCACGCCAUUGUCCUGCCUCAGCCUCCGUAGUAGCUGGGACUACAGGCGCCCACCACCACGCCCAGCUAAUUUUUUUUUUUUUUUUUUUUUUUGUAUUUUUAGUAGAGAUGGGGUUUCCCCGUGUUAGCCAGGUUGGCCUCGAUCCCCUCGUGAUCCGCCCGUCUCGGCCUCCCAAAGUGCUGGGAUUACAGGCAUGAGCCACCGCGCCCGGCCGAAGUGUCAACUUUCAAACUCACUUGGACUCUUCUAAGAAUCCAGUUUUUUGCACUUGUGUUAGGGGGCUGUCGUUAACUCCCAGUGGCCGCUGAGGUCCUUGCCUGUGGAUUCCUGCUUCUCAAAGCCAGCAAGGGCGUGUCAAAUCUGCUCAUGCUUGGAAUCUCUCUGACUUUUCCUUGGGUCACAUAUCUCUUGCUUCACCCUCUGCCACACUUUUUUUUUUCCUGAAAGCCAAAAAGAUUCUUUGCUUUAAGGGGUGAUGUAUUUAGAUUGAGAGCCCACCUGGAUAGUGGGUCCUCUCCCCUCCCGUUUUAGAUUCUCAGGCAGUUCUUUAUAGCAGUGUGAAAACGGACUAAUACACAGUGCUUUGUGCUUGGAAAACGGCAUGAAGGAGAUGGAGGUAAUGUGCGAUGACUGAGAGAAUUUGUAGAACAGCAAAAACCACUGAAAUGCCAUUCUUCAAUAGAGGCACCAGAUCUCCAGGUGUGCCUAAAGAAUCUUGGGGAUGUGUCUUCUGAAGCUAAAGAGACCCCUAAGCAUCCUGCAAAGAAGCCAACAAGGCCUGCAAAAGUCACCUAGAUCAUGAAAUUGACUAUGUCAGGGGAGGCAAUUCGUCACAAUCGUGUUUGAAAAUGAGGAUAAGCAUGGAGAGCCAAUGAUUACAUUUCACAAUGUCCUUCAUGGGUAUGUGAAUAUGAUAGUAGGAAUCUUAGCUCUUCACUUAAAGAAAGAAGCAUUAAAAUUUGGAAUUUUAGAGAGUGAGAUGAUAAAAAGAUACGUGGUAUGGUAUUACCACCUUCUUGGAAUUUCUGAAAAACCAUGUUCAGGACCCAGACAUAGAUAACUGACUCCUUCAUUUGAAUUUUAGGUAGGUACUACCUGUGUUAUUGUGUUUAGUUUCUGAGAUAAAUUGAUAAGCAUUCAGAAGUGCCUGGUGAUAUGAGUUGACUUCUAUAAAAAAUGUGAUGCUUGAGGUAAUCAUGUUUUCUGUUUUGUCCCAUGAAAGUAACAGAAUUUCUAGAAAAUUAAUUUGUUAUUAUGUCUCAACCUUAAUCAGUUGUUGAAGAAAAAAAUAGCUAUUUUAGAUUAAUUUGAUAGAUUCAAAAAUCCUAGGGUGCUAAAAUGACUCAAAUUAUGGUAUUCAAAUAGGAAUAUUUUUAACUGCAUGUCAAUUGCACACUUGCAUGUUAAUUCUUUAGUAUUAAUGAAGCUAAUAUUUACUGAAAGACUAAUAUAUGCGGAUAUUUUAAAUACAUUGUCCCAGUUAAUCCCCAAAAUAAACAACACUCAGAGAUAGCUCAGAAAUUGGGCUUGAAGUAUUUAAAUGCUUGGUUAUGUGGUCACUUGAGUAGUGAGCACAGAUCCAUUAGAGAAGCAGGUAGUAUUAUUUACAUUUGGUAAAUGAGGGAAUUAAGGUUGAGAGAGUGUAAAUACCUGGCUCAAAGUCACAUUACUGGAAUACACAAGUGCCGGAAUCAAGAUUCAAAUAAAAUUUGCUUUAAGCCUCAAUACCCACACUGUAUCUGCAUUCUUAGAAAACAGUAUGGUGCUUCACAUCCUUUAAAGACACUGGAGAAUUUGACAUCUUAAUGAUUAAUUUCUUCUUUAUAAAGUGCACAUGUAAAAAUAUAGAUAGCUGUUAAAUAUUAAUAUUUCUUGUACUGCUUAAUGUUUGUUCCCUCUGUAGUCAUACUUUUCAUAUAGAACUGUUGACAAUGUAAUUUUUAUAGUAUGUAACUUUUCAUAUGUUCUAUAUAUUCUUGUACUGCCAUUAUUUGAUUUAGUCAUUUUGGAUUAAAGAAAAGUAAUUCUUUUCUAGAAUUAA
rnacentral:lncRNA from 10 species